AGAGGUUUGCUGGGUGUAGAGAAGUUUUCCUUGGUUUUCUUCGUCUUUUUCCAAUUGACGUAAUUUUCUCCUCCCUCAACCCCCAUCUAACUGCGCUUUCCCUCUGCCAUCACGGCAGGGAGAACAGAACGCCAGAAGCUGCGGCGCGGCUGCGCGUCGAGCCAGUCGUUGAUGUUUCCGCGGUCUCCGGUGCCCCCUCGUGGCCAAUAGGUGGAAUUGCGGCCGUGUUUGGCGCCGCAGGCACCAGGGCGCAUGCGCACAAGCACGCGUCGGUGGCGUUCCUCGCUCUGCGCAGCAAAUCCGCCGAGCUUUGUUAUGGUUAGUCCUCGAGGCAACAGAGCGCAUGCGCCAGGACACUCAUAACUAGCAUUCAAAUCUACAAAGCCUCGAGGUGCUGGCGAGCAGUCGAUUCCUGGAGCCUGCCUCGGGAACAGACUAUUCUGGCUCCCAGCGGCCCCUGCGCCCCUCACACGCGUAAUGAGGAGUCGAAAACAACGCACGCGUAGUAACUCCUGGUUCUGCUGGUACACCUCUCGUACCUGGAGCUGGCUCUCCAUCUGGCUGAGACUUCAUCUUUAACACUUCAAAACAACCCUAAGGAGAAAAGAUUUUGGUGAUACACAGCACAGAUAUAGAGCAGGAUAACAGAAGAUGUACACGCUGGGUGUUGAAUAUGAUUUGGAAACCAAACCGCAGUUACUUGACAGUCCAGGAAAUUUUUCACAGCUGAGCCAUUGUGUUAGAAAUAAGAUUGGCAGAUUCAUGUCCGUAUUCACCCACGCAGCAAAGUACUGGAAGAACUACAUUAUUUCAUCCCACUCUUCAUGCAUGUUCAAAAUAGUUGAUGGGUGAAGGAAUGCUGGCUGGUUUUACGCUAAGAAAAAAGCCUCCACAAGUUCACAUUCAGUACAAUACAGCUGUUAAGUGAGAAGAUGAAAAGUUCAUUGUACUCUGCAGAGCAGAAAGACAAUUUUCUUUGUACGACUGGCAGAACAGCCCCAUGGCAGGAUUCGUAGGGUGAGUUAAAACCUUGUUCUGGACUAACUUCUCACAUAGAGAAGACACGAAAGCUGCUUGCAGUUCCAAAAUGGGGGACGUAUGGCAGAAUAAUUAAUAUUGACCUUCAAAGGUAAAUACAGGACAAAGGAUGUUGUACCAAAGGCCAGGACAUGCCCCAGCAUAAGUGGAGGUGUUUGACUCAAGACAAAAACGCAGCCUGUAUCCUCCCACUGAAGGCAGACCCACCACUCCUCAUACCUUUUAAACAUCUGUACUACUCCCCUUGAGGCUGUGAAGUCCACAGGACCACUGGUAGGAGCAUCAACACUUCAGCGUGCUUCAGUGUCUACGAGGGUAUGUCAUGACACCAGGUGGUGGAGUGCUGAAAUUCUGGGAACCAGGGAACCCAAACCCAAACUGAAGAAGAGAAGCCUCCAGAAGGAACAUCAAGUACUGUUCCAACAGAACCAUAAGAAGACUGUCAACAAUCACCUUGCAACAAUCACCUGUCAAUCACAUCAUUGAUAGGUACUGUACCUGCAUCGCGAUGCACGUUGUACUUCAUGUUUCCAAAACAGCAGGAGUUGAGCCCUGACCUACUCACUCUUUGGUUCAGGCGGUGACCUGGCAACUCUGCUGCACUCCAUCCCUUCACAGCCUGAACCAAUGAUUGAACAUUAGUGGAGAGGUCAAGGCUCUCCCAGGGAGCUCAGGUGCAAGCAAUGAUUGGAAAAGGUGCUUUUAUUUAAGUGUUAGCAGCAGAGGGAGCAGUAUCUCUCUGAGUUUGCUCUUCUUUUGAGUUGUUACUAGUUUCUGGAAGGGGUGAGCUAAUUUUUCUUUGUUACCUGCUGCUAUGGUUCUUGUAGGUUAUGUAUGGUUACCUGUUAGGUAUGGUCAUAUGGCCUUGUAUGGUUACCUGCUAUGGCGCUUAUCUCCCGUUAGAAAGCACUGUCAUUACCUUCUUUUGCCAUGUGACUUUGUUGAAAAUAUUUUCUUCCGGUGACAGGCUUUUCUCAGUUCUGUUGCUUUAUUUUUCAGUGCUGCUCUGCAAAACUUGCUGUGACUCUGGGCUAGGCCUGGCCACUCAUCAAGGUAGAGCUGCUGCCAUGAUAGAUACAGCUGUAGGGGGUGCAAGUUGAGUUGGGAUACACGUAGCACGUGGGUUACAGGUUGUGUAUGCCUGAGUAUCUAAUUCACACUAAAAUGUCUUGGCUGUAUGCAUGUGGUGGCUGGAAUCCCUUUGCAUUGUAGAAGCAAAGUUCAGAGCCCGAAAGUAAGGGAACGCAAAAUGAUGAAAAAAAGAAGAAAUGAUCUAUGGAAAAUUAAUUGUGAUAGAUGUUCUUUGAUCCUGGAAAAUCAUAACAAUAGUUUUGGGGGGGGGGAAGGAAAAAAAAGCAGGUAACUGUCAAAAUGUUAGCUAAGUACACUAAACACUAAUACACUUGUAUAUACGUAUGCAUAUAUACAGGUAUGUUAUGUACCUUCUCAACAGUGUUCCACUACAGGUAUAUCAUCUGUUGUCACACCACCAGCAUCGGCCUCUGAUAUUGUGGACGAAUAUAAUCAAAUAGGAGAUGUUACUGUUGAAGCACACCUCAUACAUACACAUUGAAUCAGCUGUACAACUUUCUCUUCAAAGGCCUAAUUAGCUUAGGCAAUCGACACCAUCAGUAAGAACAUCUAUUGUAUAAUGCACCAAGAUUUACCUGACUUCCUAGUAAUCAAGGUGCUGAGACUGUACCUUGUCAACUUAAUCAGUGCAUAUUGAUUUUAAAUUGCUUUUGCCACAGUGCAUUUGGUGCGUUGAUUUUAUGGCCACCAGACACUCACCCAGCCUCUCUCUCACUCCCCCUCCACAGAAAGCCAGAGAGAGGGGGGAAAGCCCAUGGGAAUAUUACCUCAGAAGUAAAACAAAUUUCACUUAGGGAAGAUAAAUUUCAUUUAUUCCUCCCAUUCCCUGCUCAGCAGGUCUUCCUCACCCCUCUGUUUCUGACUCCUUCAUCUGUUGCAGAGUAGCUCCUCACACCUCUCCCCGAUCCAGCAUACGCUCUUCAGGAUCUGCAGGUUGAGCGUUGCUGGGGGCACGUAGCACCUUCUCCAUGACCUUCUUACAAGGUGUUCCCACUCUUUUGUGGGAUCUUUCUUCUGAGCUCCACUCCCUCUGAGCUGCCUGCUCAUUUGCUAAUGGGUCCUGUGGGGCAGUAGGAGUGAGUAGCAGUGGAAUGGAACUAGUUGUGUCUAGCACCCCAGUUUCAUACCGCACAUCAGCAUUAUGGCAGGCCUUUCCACAACUGGACACCUGCACUCAAUGCAAUACUCUUGUGAUCUGAAAGGUCAAAAGAAGGUUUCAGAAAGCUGAGUUGGGAUUGUGUAAACGUACAACACGUGUAUUGAUUCAAAUUACAUUGAUGUUUAUUAGGAGUACAAUGUUAGUUCAAUUGUUCAGGAGGUGUGGACUCUAUAAUAAUUGAUUCUUACAAAAUCAGAAUCAUUUUAAACAGCCUAAAUUUUCAAAGCACUCAUUGAACUGUACAUAAGCUUUAUUUGAGAAGCCCCUUAUGCAAAAAGCCACUUUUUCUAGUGGAUGAGCGCACACACUUUCUCUCAAAACAGUUUAAUAAAAGGUUUAUCUUAGUGAAAGUUAAAAGAUUUUCAAUGAAGUUGUUUUAGAGGAUAUUCUUCUUACCAGACAGUGGCAUGAAGAUGUUGAUUGGCUUUUUACUGUGUAGCUUACUGUGCAGAUGCUAGGUGGGAGCCUGCUCAGUAUCUUUCUUGGUAAUUUAUGUAAUGUAAUUUAUAUUUGCAUCAAAAGACAAUUUUUCAUUUUUUGUAUCAUCAGUAGCACUGGAACUUAGCUUUACCUUUUGGGCUUUUGAUGACCUAGAGUAUCAAGAUAUCUUUCCUUCAAGUAUUUCUGAUGUACAGUAAAAUCAAAUAUUUUCCUUUUAGCUGUUUUAAAAGAGUUUGGCAGCAUUGAAUGUUUUUUGGUACUCCAUCCAGUUCUUUGAUCUUCCUCCAACAUGACCUAAUUCUGUUUAGAAGUUGUUGUGUUUAAGUGGAAAGAAUGGACUUGUGGAUAAGACAAAGCAGUACUCCCCUAGCAUCUGAUUCACCAACUGCUCUUGCAUGCAUGCAGUUUCUCCAAAGGCGAUAAAGGAUUACAUAUUUUCUACGGAUAUUUUCUAAGAGAAUUCUUUUUUUGCCUUCCAAUAUAUAAAAUCUGAACAUCCAUGCUGCUUGUGAUUUCAUGCUCCUUCUGAAAAUUCUUGCUUUUUUCCAGACAAGAAAACGUAUAUUUGUGUGAUCCAUGUUUUACUAUUUUUAGAUAAAUGAGAUGUAGUUAAUAUAGCGAGGCUAGAAAUGAUGGAAGCCACACCGAGCUUGGUCACUACUUUAAAGGUAUCAUUUUAAAUCGUGUCUAUUGAAAGUGAAAAUGCCUAGUCAUUUUUGUAAGCUGGUUGAGCUUAUUUUGAUAGCAUACGUUUAAAGCGUUGAUCUGAAUGAUCUUUUGUAAAAUCUGGUGAUAUUCAGAAGGCAGACACCUUUGAAGUCUAUAGAAUAAUAUCACUUAGUUGUACCAGUUAUUAAUCCACGUUUGCUCAUGUUACUCAUCCUUUCAAGAUUUCAUUUGUGUUUUUAAUCCCUCUGUAGAGGAAGACAGCAUGUCAAGUGAUGCAGUUUUACACAGUAGAUUGAGGCCAUGAUCUUGGCUUUAUAAACAAAUACAGCAACAGUGGUAGUGAGAAUCCUUGAUUUUAUUUUCAUGCAGCUUGAGUGGUCUUUUCUUACUUUUCUUUACUUAUUAUUACUAUUUAUUUGUAUCAUUUUUAUUUAUUUAUUUGUUUAUUUAUGCAAGUUCUGAAAAUAAUCAACUGGUUUUCCUUGGCCAAAACAAAACACCAUGAGGUUUCCAUCAGGUGGCCAUGGCCUCUUAAUUGUUUGUUACUGCUAGUGGCUUCUGCUCUACUAAUCAGUUUGUAGAUGAACUGUUGAAGAAUAAUGAGGUUUCCUUAGUUGAGUGAAGUAUCAGAAUAUCAGUGAAAAGGUGUCUGUAGUAAAUAUUUUUCAUAUUUGCAUUAAAGAUCAUAAUACAAACAGAUUUCUGAGAUGGACAUAUACUGAAGUCACUUGGAAGCAGACACACAAACAGAACAACCAAGCUAAAACAACCAACUCAGCCCUCCCAA